rnacentral:rRNA from 1 species
CCUACGGGAGGCAGCAGUGGGGAAUAUUGGACAAUGGGCGAAAGCCUGAUCCAGCAAUGCCGCGUGAGUGAUGAAGGCCUUAGGGUUGUAAAGCUCUUUUGCCAGGGAUGAUAAUGACAGUACCUGGAGAAUAAGCUCCGGCUAACUCCGUGCCAGCAGCCGCGGUAAUA